rnacentral:rRNA from 1 species
GACGAACGCUGGCGGCGUGCUUAACACAUGCAAGUCGAACGAAGUGGCGAACGGGUGAGUAACGCGUAAUCAACCUGCCCUUCAGAGGGGGAAAACAGUUGGAAACGACUGCUAAUACCUCAUACUGAUGGAGGGGAUGGCGUCUGAUUAGCUAGGUGGAGGGGGAACGGCCCACCAAGGUGAUGAUCAGGAGCCGGUCUGAGAGGAUGAACGGCCACAUUGGGACUGGGACACGGCCCAGACGCCUACGGGAGGCAGCAGUGGGGAAUCUUCCGCAAUGGACGAAAGUCUGACGGAGCAACUCCGCGUGAGUGAUGACGGCCUUCGGGUUGUAAAGCUCUGUUAAGCGGGACGCGGUACCGGAAUAGAAAGCCACGGCUAACUACGUGCCAGCAGCCGCGGUAAUUC